rnacentral:rRNA from 1 species
UGGGGAAUUUUGGACAAUGGGCGAAAGCCUGAUCCAGCAAUGCCGCGUGUGUGAAGAAGGCCUUCGGGUUGUAAAGCACUUUUGUCCGGAAAGAAAUCCUUGGCUCUAAUACAGUCGGGAGAUGACGGUACCGGAAGAAUAAGCACCGGCUAACUACGUGCCAGCAGCCGCGGUAAUACGUAGGGUGCAAGCGUUAAUCGGAAUUACUGGGCGUAAAGCGUGCGCAGGCGGUUUGCUAAGACCGAUGUGAAAUCCCCGGGCUCAACCUGGGAACUGCAUUGGUGACUGGCAGGCUAGAGUAUGGCAGAGGGGGGUAGAAUUCCACGUNUAGCAGUGAAAUGCGUAGAGAUGUGGAGGAAUACCGAUGGCGAAGGCAGCCCCCUGGGCCAAUACUGACGCUCAUGCACGAAAGCGUGGGGAGCAAACAGGAUUAGAUACCCUGGUAGUCCACGCCCUAAACGAUGUCGACUAGUUGUUGGGGAACUUCAUUUUCCUUAGUAACGUAGCUAACGCGUGAAGUUGACCGCCUGGGGAGUACGGUCGCAAGAUUAAAACUCAAAUGAAUUGACGGGGU